GGAGAGGUGCCGGAGUGGUCGAACGGGCUCGUCUCGAAAAUGAGUGUGCCCUUACGGGUACCGUGGGUUCGAAUCCCACCCUCUCCG
rnacentral:tRNA from 1 species